rnacentral:rRNA from 1 species
CCCUUAGAGUUUGAUCCUGGCUCAGGACGAACGCUGGCGGCGUGCUUAACACAUGCAAGUCGAACGAAGAGCGAUGGAAGCUUGCUUCUAUCAAUCUUAGUGGCGAACGGGUGAGUAACGCGUAAUCAACCUGCCCUUCAGAGGGGGACAACAGUUGGAAACGACUGCUAAUACCGCAUACGAUCUGACCUCGGCAUCGAGGAUAGAUGAAAGGUGGCCUCUAUUUAUAAGCUAUCACUGAAGGAGGGGAUUGCGUCUGAUUAGCUAGUUGGAGGGGUAACGGCCCACCAAGGCGAUGAUCAGUAGCCGGUCUGAGAGGAUGAACGGCCACAUUGGGACUGAGACACGGCCCAGACUCCUACGGGAGGCAGCAGUGGGGAAUCUUCCGCAAUGGACGAAAGUCUGACGGAGCAACGCCGCGUGAGUGAUGACGGCCUUCGGGUUGUAAAGCUCUGUUAAUCGGGACGAAAGGCCUUCUGCGAAU